AUUGAACGCUGGCGGCAUGCUUUACACAUGCAAGUCGAACGGCAGCACGGACUUCGGUCUGGUGGCGAGUGGCGAACGGGUGAGUAAUACAUCGGAACGUGCCCAGUUGUGGGGGAUAACUACUCGAAAGAGUAGCUAAUACCGCAUGAGAAAUGAGGUUGAAAGCAGGGGAUCGUAAGACCUUGCGCAACUGGAGCGGCCGAUGGCAGAGUAGGUAGUUGGUGGGAUAAAAGCUUACCAAGCCGACGAUCUGUAGCUGGGCUGAGAGGACGACCGGCCAAACUGGAACUGGGACACGGCCCAGACUCCUACGGGAGGCAGCAGUGGGGAAUUUUGGACAAUGGGCGAAAGCCUGAUCCAGCAAUGCCGCGUGCAGGAUGAAGGCCUUCGGGUUGUAAACUGCUUUUGUACGGAACGAAAAGCUUCGGGUUAAUACCCUGGAGUCAUGACGGUACCGUAAGAAUAAGCACCGGCUAACUACGUGCCAGCAGCCGCCGUAA
rnacentral:rRNA from 1 species